rnacentral:rRNA from 1 species
CAGUCGGGUAAUACGGAGGAUCCAAGCGUUAUCCGGAAUCAUUGGGUUUAAAGGGUCCGUAGGCGGUCUUGUAAGUCAGUGGUGAAAGCCCAUCGCUCAACGGUGGAACGGCCAUUGAUACUGCAGGACUUGAAUUAUUGGGAAGUAACUAGAAUAUGUAGUGUAGCGGUGAAAUGCUUAGAGAUUACAUGGAAUACCAAUUGCGAAGGCAGGUUACUACCAAUUGAUUGACGCUGAUGGACGAAAGCGUGGGUAGCGAACAGGAUUAGAGACCCCGGUAGUCCCUGUCUCUUAUACACAU